rnacentral:rRNA from 1 species
CGCGUAGGCGGUUUGGUAAGCUGGAUGUGAAAGCCCCGGGCUCAACCUGGGAAUUGCAUCCAGAACUGUCAGGCUAGAGUACAGUAGAGGUGAGUGGAAUUUCCUGUGUAGCGGUGAAAUGCGUAGAUAUAGGAAGGAACAUCAGUGGCGAAGGCGGCUCACUGGACUGAUACUGACGCUGAGGUGCGAAAGCGUGGGGAGCAAACA